AGCUGGUGAACCGGCUCUGAUAACAAAUGUAACGACCCGACCCGCUAGCAACAAUAACUCGUUGGACCCAACAACCCAACCCCCGGGGUCCCUUUUAGUUUGAAACACAGAGGAAAAGCGUCUAAAUUUUUUUUUUUUCUGACCCCAGGGUAUGCCAGAUUCGCUACAAAUACAGAAAAUCCACUGUUCACACGGACAGAGUCUCCCCUGUAUUUGCACGGCUCCGCACAAAUACGACAAGUAAACCAAAUACAACCACAACUACAUGAAUAUAGAGAUAACUAUACAUUCAUACAUUUACCAUUCACAUCACAGAUUUACAUUCAAUGUCUAAACAUAAAUCCACAGAAAACUUUUUGAAAACUGUUCCCUACUCGGAAACAUUUAUCUUUUAAAAACGCUACCACGAGG
rnacentral:lncRNA from 1 species